UACGUAGGGGGCAAGCGUUGUCCGGAUUUAUUGGGCGUAAAGAGCGUGUAGGCGGCCAUACAGGUCAGCUGUGAAAACUCGAGGCUCAACCUCGAGACGUCGGUUGAAACCGUAUGGCUAGAGUCCGGAAGAGGAGAGUGGAAUUCCCGGUGUAGCGGUGAAAUGCGCAGAUAUCGGGAAGAACACCCGUGGCGAAGGCGGCUCUCUGGGACGGUACUGACGCUGAGACGCGAAAGCGUGGGGAGCAAACAGGG
rnacentral:rRNA from 1 species